rnacentral:tRNA from 1 species
GCGCUGGUGGUGUAAGGCGCUGCAUCGCUGCCCGAAAAGCAGAUGCGGGUUCGAGUCCCGCCUGGCGCA